AUGUGGUUUAAUUCGACGCAACGCGAAGUAACCUUACCUAGGCUUGACGUCCCGGAAUCCUGAUGAAAGUCGGGAGUGCCCCGCAAGGGAGCCCGGAGACAGGUGCUGCAUGGCUGUCGUCAGCUCGUGUCGUGAGAUGUUGGGUUAAGUCCCGCAACGAGCGCAACCCUCGCCUUUAGUUGCCAGCAUUUAGUUGGGCACUCUAAAGGGACUGCCGGUGUUAAACCGGAGGAAGGUGGGGAUGACGUCAAGUCCUCAUGGCCUUUAUGCCUAGGGCUACACACGUGCUACAAUGGGCGGUACAAAGGGUUGCAAUCCCGCGAGGGGGAGCCAAUCCCAAAAAGCCGUUCUCAGUUCGGAUUGGAGUCUGCAACUCGACUCCAUGAAGUUGGAAUCGCUAGUAAUCGUGGAUCAGCAUGCCACGGUGAAUACGUUCCCGGGCCUU
rnacentral:rRNA from 1 species